CAAUAGCGUAUAUUAACGUUGUUGCAGUUAAAAAGCUCGUAGUUGGAUUUCUGGAGGGAGCGUCGGCCCGUAUUUACGAGUGCGUGACGUCUCUGUCCAUCCUUGCGGGACGGCACGGCAUUGAUUUGUUGUGUCGGAUCGCAUCAUUUACUGUGAAAAAAUUAGAGUGUUCAAAGCAGGCUUUCGCUUGAAUACAUUAGCAUGGAAUAAUAAGAUAGGACUUUGGUGCUAUUUUGUUGGUUGAGCCUAAAGUAAUGAUUAAUAGGGAUAGUUGGGGGCACCUGUAUUGCGUUGUCAGAGGUGAAAUUCUUGGAUUUACGCAAGACAAACAGCUGCGAAAGCGUCUGCCAAGGAUGUUUUCAUUAA
rnacentral:rRNA from 1 species